rnacentral:lncRNA from 1 species
AUGAACUCAGUGAUGAUGACGACUGUGGUUGGCACCUCUGAUUCUCAGAUGCUUUCUCUAAAGGAUAUUGUUCAUCCAUUCCUUUGCUGUCCAGUGGAAACCCUUCACAGCGGGAGACCACUGCAAAUCACACCUGCUUCUUGCUCCAGUAACCGCUGUAAUGCUAGCGAUGACCACAGAUUUGUGGGAGGAGGAUCGUGCUCUCCAUCCCGGCCUUCACAUCGGUGCGGUGGGACGAGAUGGGCUCAGCCAGCAGAACAGGUCACGGCUGCAGGAAGGGGGAGGAAUAAAUACAUUUUAGGAAGAACCUUGAACUCCAGAGCAGGAGUGCUGAAGUACUGUUCUACCCAGGGAAGCGGAAAGCAGAAGCAAGCUAGGCUGGAUCACCCGCGGUGCUUCUCCAAGGAUGUCUUCCAAGAUACAUGCCAAAUGGAGGAUACGCACACAGUGCGGUGCAGGCUGCGGUCCAGAACCCAGUUACGGUGGCAAUAAUGGCUGAAUGGAAAAUCCUGAAGGACAGGCGUGGACACUGGAAGGUCCUUGGGCUGGGAAAGCACCUGGAAGAUGCAAGAACUUCCAUGGGGUGUGGCUAGCUUAAGAACACAAAGCUCCCUUGGCACUUACGUAUCUUGUUCCAGCUCUGAUUCAGAGGAUUAAGUUGCCUCCUUUGGGAACUUGAGAAUGCUAUAAAAGAUAAACAAUUUUUACAGUAUUUUUUCUCCUGGGCAACAUGCCUUGGCACAGAGGGAGUGCAAAGAAGCAAAGUCUAAAGCCGGUAUUCUGGAAUAGCCAGAUUGGAUGGCUUUUCCAGCAUGUAUAUGGACACUCAGGGAUCUCUGCAGCAGUACUUGCAGGAGCCAGAAUGACUUAACAGAACAAUCUAAAUCUUUGUAGAUAUGACAACAGAAAGAAAUGUUUUUUGUUCACUGCCAUCUCCUGAGCAAGCGGACUUCAAAAGCCCCUUCCUAAGAGGUGUCAUGAAAACUGCAACUUUUUCAGGAUGUGGCAGGGCAGUUGUUGAGCAACAAAAACUAUCAAAAUAUAAUAGCAUGCCAGAUUGACUUGCUGCAACUUCAGACUGAAGUAAGAUUCCUGGUCUAUAACACUUGAAAGGGAACACUGAAUGCAACAUUCGUGAGCACUUGUUUGAGCCAACUGUGCUCCAUUCUGUUGUUGUGUCUUGCAGACAUAGGGCAAGGUUCACAGAGCAGAAGUUCCAGCACUUUCAAGAAACUGAGUGGCAUCUUACUUGCAUUGAGCCUGAAAGCAUCUUUGGCCCGUGUUUUCUUCCGCUUAUGCCAGCCCUGUAAUGGUCAGUAUUCUGGGAGAAGGGUAAAAGAAAAAAAGAAAAAAAAAGGAGUGGAAAAGGCAGAAACAAAGGAAAUUAAGUAAUUCUGCAGGCAGUGUAACAAAGUACAUUGGCUUCCAAUUACUUUAAUCUUGAGGAUAUGGCCCCGUGAAGAUUCUUUGACAUCUAACAAAGUGUUGGAGU